CGGAGCUAACGCGUUAAGUAGACCGCCUGGGGAGUACGGUCGCAAGAUUAAAACUCAAAUGAAUUGACGGGGGCCCGCACAAGCGGUGGAGCAUGUGGUUUAAUUCGAUGCAACGCGAAGAACCUUACCUACUCUUGACAUCCAGAGAACUUUCCAGAGAUGGAUUGGUGCCUUCGGGAACUCUGAGACAGGUGCUGCAUGGCUGUCGUCAGCUCGUGUCGUGAGAUGUUGGGUUA
rnacentral:rRNA from 1 species